AGAGUUUGAUCAUGGCUCAGAGUGAACGCUGGCGGCAGGCCUAAUACAUGCAAGUCGAACGGCAGCACAGCAGAGCUUGCUCUGUGGGUGGCGAGUGGCGGACGGGUGAGGAAUACGUGGGAAUCUGCCCAGUCGUGGGGGAUAACGUAGGGAAACUUACGCUAAUACCGCAUGCGCCCUUCGGGGGAAAGCCGGGGACCUUCGGGCCUGGCGCGAUUGGAUGAGCCCACGUCGGAUUAGCUAGUUGGCGGGGUAAAGGCCCACCAAGGCGACGAUCCGUAGCUGGUCUGAGAGGAUGAUCAGCCACACUGGAACUGAGACACGGUCCAGACUCCUACGGGAGGCAGCAGUAGGGAAUAUUGGACAAUGGGCGCAAGCCUGAUCCAGCCAUGCCGCGUGAGUGAAGAAGGCCCUCGAGUUGUAAAGCUCUUUUGUCCGGAAAGAAAAGCGCCGGGUUAAUACCCUGGUGUCCUGACGGUACCGGAAGAAUAAGCACCGGCUAACUUCGUG
rnacentral:rRNA from 1 species